AUCCGGCUGAUGAGUCUCAAAUAGAACGAAACAUGCGUCCUGUAU
rnacentral:hammerhead_ribozyme from 1 species